rnacentral:rRNA from 1 species
UACGGAGGGUGCAAGCGUUGUCCGGAAUUAUUGGGCGUAAAGCGCACGUAGGCGGUUCUUUAAGUCUCAUGGUGAAAGGCUGGGGCUCAACCCCAAGCAAGCCGGGGAUACUGGAGGACUGGAGACAGGCAGAGGCCAGCGGAAUUCCGGGUGUAGCGGUGGAAUGCGUAGAGAUCCGGAAGAACACCGGAGGCGAAGGCGGCUGGCCGGGCCUGAUCUGACGCUGAGGUGCGAAAGCGUGGGGAGCGAACAGG